GACGGAAGGUGCAAGCGUUGCUCGGAAUCACUGGGCGUAAAGCGUGCGUAGGUGGUUCGUUAAGUCUGAUGUGAAAGCCCUGGGCUCAACCUGGGAAUGGCAUUGGAAACUGGCGACCUAGAGUGCGGUAGAGGGCAGUGGAAUUCCCGGUGUAGCAGUGAAAUGCGUAGAGAUCGGGAGGAACAUCUGUGGCGAAGGCGACUGCCUGGACCAGCACUGACACUGAGGCACGAAAGCGUGGGGAGCAAACAGG
rnacentral:rRNA from 1 species